UACGUAGGGGGCAAGCGUUAUCCGGAUUUACUGGGUGUAAAGGGAGCGUAGACGGUGAAGCAAGUCUGAAGUGAAAUACCCGGGCUCAACCUGGGAACUGCUUUGGAAACUGUUUUACUAGAGUGCUGGAGAGGCAAGCGGAAUUCCUAGUGUAGCGGUGAAAUGCGUAGAUAUUAGGAGGAACACCAGUGGCGAAGGCGGCUUGCUGGACAGUAACUGACGUUGAGGCUCGAAAGCGUGGGGAGCAAACAGG
rnacentral:ncRNA from 2 species